CUUAAGGAUGUCUGAGAGCUGGUCUCCUCACUCUUUUCUUCCGCCUAUUAAACUUUCCGCUUCUUAACUCACCCAUGUGUGUCCAUGUCGUUAAUCAUCUUGACGAGAGAUGAUGAACCCCGGAUAUUUACCCCAGACAGUGAUGCCGCUUCACCAGCAUUGCACUCUACUUCCCCGCUUCCUGAUCCUGCCUCAGCUUCUCCUCUCCACAGAGAAGAAAAAAUUCUGCCUAAAGUCUGCAACAUCGUUUCCUGCCUGAGUUUCAGCCUGCCAGCUUCUCCUACGGAUUCUGGACUUGCCAGCCCCACAAUCAUCAGGGAUCCUGUGGCCUCCAAAUCCCAGUUGGAACUCAGCUCAAGGCCAGCAAAAACAGAGCCUAGAGCCUGGAGCGCACAGUUUGGCAGGUGCAGUGCGCAGCCCCAACCCCAAGUGGAUUUUCUACCUGCAGAGAAUACCUGCUCUGGGUGACCACAGCUGCUGAGAAAUCUUCCCAGAAGAGGCAGGAUGGGAUGGAAUGCUGGGAUUACAGAUGAACUUUCCUGGCCACCCUGGAUAAGCAGAACCUGAAUAAAGUAAAUCAUGAUCACACCCCAAGGCAAGACAGAGGCCUCUGGCAUGUAAGAAGGCUCCCCAGUGGUCAAGACAGAAGCAGGCUUCAAGAAAUGGAAAGUAUUGGUGGGCAGAGUGGGGUCAGUGAGGGAUGAGGGUGCAGGAGCACUCAGAGAAGCACACAAGGUGUCCUUCUGAGCUGGAUGCUUGUGAUAACUGGAGAGGGAA
rnacentral:lncRNA from 1 species